rnacentral:lncRNA from 1 species
AUUAGAAGUUAUAGUUUGUAUGGUUAAUUAGAAAGAAGUAGAUUUUUCUCAUGAAAAGAAUAGUGAACAAUUCUGGAAUUUUUUAUUUUAUUUAUUUAUUUUUUAUCUCUGUUGAUGUGUAAACUAAAUUCCCACAUUGGGAAUACUGUAGUCUCAAAGUCAAGUUAAAUUCGUAUGAUGAACACUGCAUGGCAGCAAACUAUCCUCUUUAGUUGCUAAAUUUAUAGUUUUGGUUUUAUUCUUUUAAUAAUUGUCUGUUUUAGAAACUUAUUACAAAUACAGAAGAAAUAUUGACAGAUUUAAAUAGAAUGAGUGAAGUUCUACCCAUUUUCUGAAUUGUGCAUUUGAGAUAAGUAAUCAGAGACUUGUGAAUCUUACACAAUACACACACACACACACACACAUACAUACAUUUAUAUAUAUAUAUAUAUAGAGAGAGAGAGAGAGAGACAUUUAAUUAUUUUCAGCUAUUUACUCUAUUUUUUUUAGAUAAACAUUACAGUAGAAUGUAUUUUGACAAACGUAUAUGGAGUAUAACUUACUGUAAUUAGGAUUCCAUUCUUGUGAUUGUACAUGAUGUAGAGUUUCAUUAGUGGCGUAUGCAUAUAUGACAUAGGAAAGUUAUGUCUGAUUGAUUCUACUGUCUUUCCUAUUCCCUAUCACCCUCCCUUCCCUUCAUUCAUUCCCCUUUGUCUAAAUCACUGAACUACUAUUCUUCUCUCCUCCCCAUAUUGUAUUUUUGCAUCCACAUAUCAGAGCAUUCAGCCUUUGGUUUUUUGAGAUUGGCUUAUUUUCCUUAGCAUGAUCUCUAGGUCCAUCCCUUUACUGGCAAAAGUCAUAAAGUUAUUUUUUAUGGCCAAGUAAUAUUCCAUGUGUAUAUAUACCACAUUUCUUUAUCCAUUCAUCUGUUGAAGGACACCUAGGUUGGUUCCAUAGCUUAGCUGUUGUGAAUUGAGCUGCUAAAAACAUUGAUGAGGCUGUAUCACUAUAGUGCUAAUUUUAAGUACUUUGGGUGUAUAUCAAGGAGUAGGAUAACUGGGUCAAGUGAUGUUAGUUCCAUUCCCCGUUUUCUAAGGAAUCUCCAUGCAGCUUUCCAGAGUGGUUGCACCAAUUUGCAGUCCCAUCAGCAAUGUAUGAAUGUACCUUUUUCCCUACAUCCUCAUCAACCUUUAUCGUUACUUGUGGUUUUGAUAAUUGCCAUUCUGACUGGAGUGAGAUGGAAUCUCAGUGUAGUUUUAAUCUGCACUUCUCUAAUAGCUAGAGAAGUUGAACAUUUUUUUCAUAUAUUUAUUGACCAUUUGUAUUCUUUUGAGAAGUACCUAUUCAGUUCCUUUGCCCAUUUAUUGAUUGGAUUAUUUGUGUUUUUUUGGUGUUAAAAGUUUUUUGAGUUCUUUAUAUAUCCUGGAAAUUAAUGCUCUGUCUGAGGUGCAGGUGGCAAAAAUUUUCUCCAAUUCUGUAGGCUCUCUCUUCACAUUUUUUAUUGUUUCCUCUGCUGUGCAGAAGCUUUUUAGUUUUAUACCAUCCCAUUUAUUGAUUCUUUGAUUUAAUUUCUUGCAUUUUGGAGUCUUAUUAAGGAAGUCAUUUCCUAAGCCAAAAUGGAGAGUUGGGCCUACAUUUUCUUCUGGUCAGUAUAGGGUCUUCUGGUCUAAUGCCUAGGUCCUUGAUCCACUUUGAGUUUUGUGCAAGGUGAGAGGGGUUAAAUUUCAUUCUGCUAUGUAUGGAUUUCCAGUUUCCCCAACACCAUUUGUUGAAGAGGCUGUUUUUUCUCCAAUUUGUGUUUAUAGCACCUUUGUCUAAUAUAAGAUAACUGUGUUUAUGUGACUUUCUGUCUAUGUCUUCUAUUCUGUUUGUUUCAUUGACCUUCAUGUCUGGGUGCCAGUAGCAUGCUUUUUUGUUACUAUGGCUCUGUAGUAUAAUUUGAGGUCUGGUAUUGUGAUGUCUCCUGAUUCUCUUGAUGAGGAUUGUUUGUCUAUUCUGGACAUCAUAUUUUUCCAAAUGAAUUUCAUAACUGCUUUUUCUAUUUCUAUGAAGAAUGUCAUAUAAAUUACAUUAAAUCUGUAUAGUGCAUUUUGAUAAUAUGCUUGUCGAAGAACAUGGGAGAUGUUUCCAUCUUCUAAGGUCGUCUUUAAUUUCUUUAGUGUUCUGUAGUUAUCGCUGCAGAGGUUUUUUCACCUCUUGUUAGAUUGAUUCCCAAGUAUUCUAUUUUUUUAAGGCUAUUAUGAAUGGGAUAGUUUUCUUAAUUUCUCUUUCAUCCAGUUACUAAUGUUAUUAAGUUUGAGCUAGGGAUACCCUCUCUUGGCUCCCUUUAAUAGCAUAUUUAAUUGAACAGACAUUUUAGAACUGUUGAUUAAAAUUCUACAUCUGAAUUUCUGGAUAAAGACUGGUGAUUGGGGAGAUAAUCAUUGCAAUAGAAACCAGUAUCUGGAUUGAGCUUUCAGCAUCACUCUGGAUCAAGUUACCCCCAUAGCGUAAUCCUAACCAUAGUUGAUUUUGCAAAAAGCCUUAAGUUUUUUUAAAUAAUGCUAUUUAUACUAAAGGGAUAAGUUUGGGCCAGAUAUAGCUAACAUUCAUAUUUUGUUUAAUCCUAUGUAGUUCAAAUUAGGGAUAACUUCCUGCAAUAAUUUUCAUACUCUGUCCCUUUGUUUAAAGGAAACCUUUCAUUAGGUGUGGAAGAGGAUACAAUAGAUAACAAGUUGAAUGUUCUAGCUGAAACCAAGUUGGGAAGAAAGCAAUGGGCUAAGGCCUAUAAAGUAUUCUAGGAAAGGAGUUUCUGUGUACUCUCAGGCAAACUGGAAGGCUGAAGAAGGUGGUGGACCUAUGAAAAGCAUGUUUUGGUCACUUGAACUUGUUUCUGUUUACCUAGCCUUUUAUUUUAUUUUAUAAGUUGCUCUGUCCUAAUAUGAAUGGUAACCAGAGCUGCUAUUCCAAGGUUACAACAAAAGCUAGAAUUUCUUUUGUAAUCAGUAGGGUUUUUGUUUUGUUUUGGUUUUGGUUUUGGUUUUUUUCAUUGUUUGUUGUUUACUUCCUACUUUUUAGUUCUGGUGCUCUUAGUUAUAGCCAGAUAGGUAUGCUCAGUAACCAGAUGUUUUUUCACUAGAAGGCUUCAGUCUUUUAGGGUUGAAAACGGACAUGAUUGUAGGAAACCUCCCUCCUGUUUCUACAGAUUUCUUUUGUUUCUGCCCUUGCAUACCUGCUGCUGAAACUAAUUCAUAAGCAGCAACUUUUUCAGAGGAAAAUGUGAGUGAAAGUGAAAUCCAAAAUAAUCUCAGCCUUCUCUUUCAGGGGACUUUCUGGCUCUUUCUGCAGGUAUUUUCCUCAGAUAUUCAUAAGUUGAAAGCAUCUCAAGAGUCCUUAAAACUGCUACAGAGAUGGUGUGAUAUUAAACAGUCUGCCCAAGUUGUAAGUCUUAAAUGGACAUUGUGUUUUCAAAGAAUAACUGAGUGGUUUUAAGUGUUAAAUAUAAAUACCAAAUGAUAGUUACAUGCUUCUCACCAUGCAGUGGUAUUGACAGUCUCUUUCUUUCUGAGGGUGAGAAAAUUUGAUCUUGCAAUAUUUUAUGUACCUUUCAGUGAAACUAAAUAUAGCCAGAGAAUCCAUAUUUAAGAUGUACUGUUAGGAUUUGGAACUUAAAUGUCUUCCAAAGGCUUAUAUGGUAAAGGCUUGGUCAUCAACUUGUGCUCCCAUCAACUUGGGAGAAACUUUUGGAGUUGAGUUUAGGGGAAGGAAGUUAAGUCAGUGGGGCAUGUCCUUGAAGGGGAUAUCCCAACCCUUUUCUUUGGUUUCCCAACCUGUGUAAAGUGAUCAGCUCUCCUCUGCCAUGUACCUUGCCAUGUGACUAUAGAUUGAAAUGCUGAACCAAAAUAAAUCCUCCUUUUUAGGUUUUUUAUCUCAGGUUUUUGAUAGCAGUGAAAAUCUGAUUAGCCCAUAAUGCUUAGCACGGUUUGAGUCUGACAGUAUCAAUGACACCUAGCAGUACUUUGAGGCAUAUAUUAUCCUCAUUUCACAUAUAAGGAAACCAAUGCUUAAGAAGUCAAUUUUAUUCCUGAUUAAUAGGAAAAUAGUAAACUUUGAGAUCAGGUUACAUCAGUGGUUUUUCCAUUCCAUGUGGACUAUGAUGUAUAAUUCCUAUCUUGAUAAAAUAUAAUGAACUUCCAAAAAUUAGCCAUUAGAAGUUCUUCUCUAGUUUGUAAUGAAGAUGGUUUUACAAAUAUUAGUAAUUAAUAUCCAUUUGUGUUCUGAGUUUUAUUUAAUAAACUGGAAGAAGAAAAAAAAAAUACAGGCAU